UUUUCGUCAAUGGGCGCAAGCCUGACGAGCAAUGCCGCGUGAGUGAGGAAGGUCUUCGGAUCGUAAAGCUCUGUUGCGGGGGAAAAAGGAAGCAGAAAGGAAAUGGUCUGCUUUUGAUGGUACCCCGCCAGAAAGUCACGGCUAACUACGUGCC
rnacentral:rRNA from 1 species